rnacentral:rRNA from 1 species
AACGAACGCUGGCGGCAUGCCUAACACAUGCAAGUCGAGCGCCCGUAGCAAUACGGGAGCGGCGCACGGGUGAGUAACGCGUGGGAACCUGCCCAGAGGUCUGGGACAACCGCGGGAAACUGCGGCUGAUACCGGAUGAUUCCUGAGGGACAAAGAUUUAUCGCCUUUGGAGGGGCCCGCGUCGGAUUAGGUAGUUGGUGGGGUAACGGCUCACCAAGCCUAUGAUCCGUAACUGGUCUGAGAGGAUGAUCAGCCACACUGGGACUGAGACACGGCCCAGACUCCUACGGGAGGCAGCAGUGGGGAAUAUUGGACAAUGGGCGAAAGCCUGAUCCAGCAAUGCCGCGUGAGUGAUGAAGGCCUUAGGGUUGUAAAGCUCUUUUACCCGAGAUGAUAAUGACAGUAUCGGGAGAAUAAGCUCCGGCUAACUCCGUGCCAGCAGCCGCGGUAAU